rnacentral:rRNA from 1 species
AGAGUUUGAUCCUGGCUCAGAUUGAACGCUGGCGGCAUGGCUAAAACAUGCAAGUUGAACGAUUGAAAGUGGCGAAAGGGCGAGUAAUGCGAUCGAAUGUGCCCCGAGGUGGGGGAUAGCGUCGGGAAACUGACGGUAAUACCCCAUGUCCUCUACGGAGAAAAGGUUUACCGCCUUGGGAGCAGCGAUCGUCCUAUCAGCUUGUUGGUGAGGUAACGGCUCACCAAGGCGAAGACGGGUAGCGGGUGUGAGAGCAUGACCCGCCGCAUCGGGACUGAGACACUGCCCGGACUCCUACGGGAGGCUGCAGUAACGAAUCUUCCGCAAUGGGCGAAAGCCUGACGGAGCAAUGCCGCGUGUGGGAUGAAGCGUCUUCGACGUGUAAACCACUGUCAGGGAAUAAAACACUGAUCAUUCCCAGAGGAAGGGCCGGCUAAUUCCGUGCCAGCAGCCGCGGUAAUACGGAAGGCCCGAGCGUUAAUCGGAAUCACUGGGCUUAAAGCGUGCGCAGGCGGACCCGCAGGCAUCUUGUGAAAUCCCACAGCUCAACUGUGGAACUGCAGGGUGAACCGCGGGUCUUGAGACAAGUAGGGGCUGAUGGAACCAUGGGUGGAGCGGUGAAAUGCGUAGAUAUCCAUGGGAACGCCAAUGGCGAAGGCAGUCAGCUGGGCUUGUUCUGACGCUCAGGCACGAAAGCGUGGGGAGCGAACGGGAUUAGAUACCCCGGUAGUCCACGCCGUAAACGAUGCGCACUAGGUCGGGGCGGGUUUCACCCCCUCUCGGCCGAAGGUAAACUGAUUAGUGCGCCGCCUGGGGAGUACGGUCGCAAGGCUAAAACUCAAAGGAAUUGACGGGGGCUCACACAAGCGGUGGAGCAUGUUGCUUAAUUCGAGGCAACGCGAAGAACCUUACCAGGGUUUGACAUGCAUGGAUUAACCUUUCGAAAGAUAGGCCACGCCCUUUGGGUGGAACAUGCACAGGUGCUGCAUGGCUGUUGUCAGCUCGUGCUGUGAAGUGUCGGGUUAAGUCCCUUAACGAGCGCAACCCCUGUCGUCAGUUGCUAACGCGUCAUGGCGAGUACUCUGGCGAGACUGCCGGUGUCAAACCGGAGGAAGGUGGGGAUGACGUCAAGUCCUCAUGGCCUUUAUGCCCUGGGAUGCAAACGUGCUACAAUGGUACGGACAAAGCGAAGCAAGACCGCGAGGUGGAGCAAAUCGCAAAAACCGUGCCCCAGUUCGGAUAGCAGGCUGCAAUUCGCCUGCUUGAAGCCGGAAUCGCUAGUAAUCGCGUAUCAGCUACGACGCGGUGAAUACGUUCCUGAGCCUUGUACACACCGCCCGUCACGUCAUGGAAGCUGGCAGCGCCCGAAGUCACAUCGGUUCAGGUGUGCCUACGGCGAGGCUGGUGACUGGGACGAAGUCGUAACAAGGUA